rnacentral:rRNA from 1 species
AGUAAAGUGGCGACCGGGUGAGUAACACGUGACUAACCUACCCUCGAGUGUGGAAUAACAUCGGGAAACCGAUGCUAAUACCGCAUAAUAUCGCAAGAUCAAAGCAGUAAUGCGCUUGAGGAGGGGGUCGCGGCUGAUUAGCUAGUUGGCGGGGUAACGGCCCACCAAGGCGAAGAUCGGUAGCCGGCCUGAGAGGGCGCACGGCCACACUGGAACUGAAACACGGUCCAG